GUAGGGUGCGAGCGUUAAUCGGAAUUACUGGGCGUAAAGCGUGCGCAGGCGGUUUUGUAAGACAGAUGUGAAAUCCCCGGGCUUAACCUGGGAACUGCGUUUGUGACUGCAAGACUCGAGUGUGGCAGAGGGGGGUGGAAUUCCACGUGUAGCAGUGAAAUGCGUAGAGAUGUGGAGGAACACCGAUGGCGAAGGCAGCCCCCUGGGUCAACACUGACGCUCAUGCACGAAAGCGUGGGUAGCAAACAGGAUUAGAUACCCUGGUAGUCCACGCCCUAAACGAUGCCAACUAGGUGUUGGGGAAGGAGACUUCCUUAGUACCGUACKAACGCGUGAAGUUGGCCGCC
rnacentral:rRNA from 1 species